GGACCCGCACAAGCGGUGGAGCAUGUGGUUUAAUUCGACGCAACGCGAAGAACCUUACCUAGGCUAGAAUGUGAGGGAAGAAAGGGUAAUACCGAUCGUCCGGGAAACCGGACCCAAAACAAGGUGCUGCAUGGCUGUCGUCAGCUCGUGUCGUGAGAUGUUGGGUUAAGUCCCGCAACGAGCGCAACCCUUAUCGAUAGUUGCCAUCAUUAAGUUGGGAACUCUAUCGAGACUGCCGUUGAUAAAACGGAGGAAGGUGGGGAUGAUGUCAAGUCAUCAUGGCCUUUAUGCUUAGGGCUACACACGUGCUACAAUGGCCGGUACAAAACGUCGCGAACCCGUAAGGGGAAGCUAAUCGCAAAAACCGGUCUCAGUUCGGAUUGGAGUCUGCAACUCGACUCCAUGAAGUUGGAAUCGCUAGUAAUCGCAAAUCAGCAUGUUGCGGUGAAUACGUUCCCGGGUCUU
rnacentral:rRNA from 1 species